rnacentral:rRNA from 1 species
CUCAGAACGAACGCUGGCGGCAGGCCUAACACAUGCAAGUCGAGCGAGACUUUCGGGUCUAGCGGCGGACGGGUUAGUAACGCGUGGGAAUAUACCCUUCACUACGGAAUAGCCUCGGGAAACUGGGAGUAAUACCGUAUACGCCCUUUGGGGGAAAGAUUUAUCGGUGAAGGAUUAGCCCGCGUCUGAUUAGAUAGUUGGUGGGGUAAUGGCCUACCAAGUCUACGAUCAGUAGCUGGUUUGAGAGGAUGAUCAGCAACACUGGGACUGAGACACGGCCCAGACUCCUACGGGAGGCAGCAGUGGGGAAUCUUAGACAAUGGGCGCAAGCCUGAUCUAGCCAUGCCGCGUGAGUGACGAAGGCCUUAGGGUCGUAAAGCUCUUUCGCCAGAGAUGAUAAUGACAGUAUCUGGUAAAGAAACCCCGGCUAACUCCGUGCCAGCAGCCGCGGUAAUACGGAGGGGGUUAGCGUUGUUCGGAAUUACUGGGCGUAAAGCGCACGUAGGCGGAUUGGAAAGUAUGGGGUGAAAUCCCAGGGCUCAACCCUGGAACGGCCUUGUAAACUCCCAGUCUAGAGUUCGAGAGAGGUGAGUGGAAUUCCAAGUGUAGAGGUGAAAUUCGUAGAUAUUUGGAGGAACACCAGUGGCGAAGGCGGCUCACUGGCUCGAUACUGACGCUGAGGUGCGAAAGUGUGGGGAGCAAACAGGAUUAGAUACCCUGGUAGUCCACACCGUAAACGAUGAAUGCCAGACGUC